AAGUCGUAACAAGGUAACCGUAGGUGAACCUGCGGUUGGAUCAUUAAAAUGUAUCCGGGUGCUUGACUGGAAGCAAAAUGACAAUCAAAACUUAUCCCCUUUCUCAAUUUUUGCUCGGAACACUCUUUACACAGAAUAAUCCAAAACGGAAAGGCAAGAGGGGGAAAAGAAUUUGAAUGGAAGUUUUGUUUUUUAAGUUAAGCAGAUCUCACCAAUAUGUGCACCUGUAAUUGUCCGUUGGCGGCUGUCCAGUGCUCUGUGCUGCGACUUGCAUUCAAUUGCAAAGGCCGUCGAUAUAUGUUUCAAACAUUUCUACUUCUAUUUAUUCUUUGUCUUCUUUCUUUUGAUUAAGAAACCAAGAACAACUAUUAACAAUGGAUCUCUUGGCUCUC
rnacentral:misc_RNA from 1 species